rnacentral:rRNA from 1 species
CCCAAACCCCUGUGAACAUACCACUUGUUGCCUCGGCGGAUCAGCCCGCUCCCGGUAAAACGGGACGGCCCGCCAGAGGACCCCUAAACUCUGUUUCUAUAUGUAACUUCUGAGUAAAACCAUAAAUAAAUCAAAACUUUCAACAACGGAUCUCUUGGUUCUGGCAUCGAUGAAGAACGCAGCAAAAUGCGAUAAGUAAUGUGAAUUGCAGAAUUCAGUGAAUCAUCGAAUCUUUGAACGCACAUUGCGCCCGCCAGUAUUCUGGCGGGCAUGCCUGUUCGAGCGUCAUUUCAACCCUCAAGCACAGCUUGGUGUUGGGACUCGCGUUAAUUCGCGUUCCCCAAAUUGAUUGGCGGUCACGUCGAGCUUCCAUAGCGUAGUAGUAAAACCCUCGUUACUGGUAAUCGUCGCGGCCACGCCGUUAAACCCCAACUUCUGAAUGUUGACCUCGGAUCAGGUAGGAAUACCCGCUGAACUUAAGC